AUUGAACGCAGGCGGUAUGCUUAACACAUGCAAGUCGAACGAUGAGAAAGAGCUUGCUCUUUCGAUUAGUGGCGGACGGGUGCGUAACGCGUAGGAAUCUACCUAUUAGUGGGGACAACUUAGGGAAACUUAAGCUAAUACCGCAUACGCCCUACGGGGGAAAGAAGGGGAUCGCAAGACCUUUUGCUAAUAGAUGAGCCUGCGAAGGAUUAGCUAGUUGGUGGGGUAAAAGCUCACCAAGGCGACGAUCCUUAACUGGUUUGAGAGAAUGAUCAGUCACACUGGAACUGAGACACGGUCCAGACUCCUACGGGAGGCAGCAGUGGGGAAUAUUGGACAAUGGGCGAAAGCCUGAUCCAGCAAUACCGCGUGUGUGAAGAAGGCCUUAGGGUUGUAAAGCACUUUCAAUUGGAAGGAAAACCUCGAAGCUAAUACCUUCGAGUUUGACAUUACCUUUAGAAGAGGCACCGGCUAACUCCGUGCCAGCCGCCGCGGUAAUAC
rnacentral:rRNA from 1 species